AUUGACAUACAAUCUUAUAUUUGUUUCAGGUGUACAACAGAGUGACUACACAUUUACAUACCUUAUGGAGUGAUCACCCAGAUAAAUCUAAUACCCAUCUGGCACCAUGCACAGUUAUUACAAUUCUAGAGGCUCUGU